UACGUAGGGUGCAAGCGUUAAUCGGAAUUGCUGGGCGUAAAGCGUGCGCAGGCGGUUUUGUAAGUUUGUCGUGAAAGCCCCGGGCUCAACCUGGGAAUUGCGAUGAAGACUGCAAGGCUUGAAUCUGGCAGAGGGGGGUAGAAUUCCACGUGUAGCAGUGAAAUGCGUAGAGAUGUGGAGGAACACCGAUGGCGAAGGCAGCCCCCUGGGUCAAGAUUGACGCUCAGGCACGAAAGCGUGGGGAGCAAACAGG
rnacentral:rRNA from 1 species